UACAGAGGGUGCAAGCGUUAUUCGGAUUUAUUGGGCGUAAAGAGCGUGUAGGCUGUUUACUAAGUUUGGUGUGAAAUCCCUGGGCUCAAUCCAGGAAGUGCAUUGAAUACUGGUAGACUAGAGUAUAGGAGAGGUCAGCGGAAUUCCCGGUGUAGAGGUGAAAUGCGUUGAGACCGGAAGGAACGCCCGUGGCGAAAGCGCGCUCCUGGAUCCCGCCUGACGCUGAGACGCGAAAGCCAGGGGAGCGAACGGG
rnacentral:rRNA from 1 species